UACGUAGGGUGCAAGCGUUAAUCGGAAUUACUGGGCGUAAAGCGUGCGCAGGCGGUGAUGUAAGACAGAUGUGAAAUCCCCGGGCUCAACCUGGGAACUGCAUUUGUGACUGCAUCGCUAGAGUACGGCAGAGGGGGAUGGAAUUCCGCGUGUAGCAGUGAAAUGCGUAGAUAUGCGGAGGAACACCGAUGGCGAAGGCA
rnacentral:rRNA from 1 species